rnacentral:rRNA from 1 species
GACGAACGCUGGCGGCGUGCCUAAUACAUGCAAGUCGAACGGAAAGGCCCUGCUUUUGUGGGGUGCUCGAGUGGCGAACGGGUGAGUAACACGUGAGUAACCUGCCCUUGACUUUGGGAUAACUUUUGGAAACUGGGGCUAAUACCGGAUAGGAGCUACUGCUGCAUGGUGGGGGUUGGAAAGUUUCGGCGGUUGGGGAUGGACUGGCGGCUUAUCAGCCUGUUGGUGGGGUAGUGGCUUACCAAGGCUUUGACGGGUAGCCGGCCUGAGAGGGUGACCGGCCACAUUGGUACUGAGAUAGGGCCCAGACGCCAACGGGAGGCAGCGGUGGGAAGUAUUGCGCAAUAGGCGGAAGCCUGAGACAGCGGCGCCGGGUGCGGGAUGACGGCCUUCGGGGUAUAAACCGCUUUCGCCUGUGACGAGGCGUGAGUGACGGUAAUGGGUAAGAAAGCACCGGCUAACUACGUG